AACGGACGCUGGCGGCAGGCUUAACACAUGCAAGUCGAGCGCCCCGCAAGGGGAGCGGCAGACGGGUGAGUAACGCGUGGGAAUCUACCCAUCUCUACGGAAUAACGCAUGGAAACGUGUGCUAAUACCGUAUACGUCCUUCGGGAGAAAGAUUUAUCGGAGAUGGAUGAGCCCGCGUUGGAUUAGCUAGUUGGUGGGGUAAAGGCCUACCGAGGCGACGAUCCAUAGCUGGUCUGAGAGGAUGAUCAUCCACACUGGGACUGAGACACGGCCCAGACUCCUACGGGAGGCAGCAGUGGGGAAUAUUGGACAAUGGGCGCAAGCCUGAUCCAGCCAUGCCGCGUGAGUGAUGAAGGCCCUAGGGUUGUAAAGCUCUUUCACCGGUGAAGAUAAUGACGGUAACCGGAGAAGAAGCCCCGGCUAACUUCGUGCCAGCCGCCGCAGUAAUAC
rnacentral:rRNA from 1 species